AGAAACCAAAAUUUGUUGUGUAAGAAAAAUUGGCUUGUCAUCAUGAUGAAUGAUACCAUAACGCCGGAGCCGCAUUUGGUGCCAGGGUACACCGGCCACUGCACCCAGAACCGAGAUCGCGAGGGGAAAACAUAUGGCAAACAGACGCACAAGUUGCUCAUCGACCUGUGCAUCUACCAUGCACCGGAGCUGAUCGUAUUACCCAUACACGCCAAGCAAGGACUCAAGGAUUAUCCCACCGAGCAUGAGCUGAAGGUGUUGCGUCGUCGUGAGGAUCUGGUGGAUGCUGUGUACCGGCAUCCCAUACUUCCAGGAUAUGCAGGCUUCGUCCCAAAUAUGGCCAGUCAAACUGGCAAGCGCUAUGUGGCCGCUGCCUCGGCGGGUGUCGCCCAGCAUGAGACGCUGAUGGAGCUAUAUCGCUGCGAAAAUUGUACGGUGAGGCUUGUAGCUGCUGUGAGGAGGCCUAGGGGUUUUGGGGGUCCGCCGAAAAUUAGGCACCAUCUGACGAGAGGCAAGAGAAAUUCUCUUUAACAGUCGGCAAAGAGGGCCUGGGAUCAGAGAGUGGGUCAGAGCCAGGGCAGACUUCCUCGUCGAAAGGAGAGCGGGUUCGAAGUCGAAGUUCGACGAGAAGAGAGGCUACAAAUAGAUGUCACUGGACGCCAUUGUAGCAUUACAAGCCUGGUCGACAGCAUUGGAUGGUGUUCAUUUUCUAAAGUGGCAGCGGGGUUUUUAAAUAAUUAAAAAAAGAGAGAAACCUUUUAAAUUAAAUAACGACAAGGAAAUAUAUCUCAGGCAGUGAGGCGUUGUACAGUGAUACCCUUGCAAUACACCCUUUCGACGGGGCACCCGUUUGGGUUGGAAAUUGGAGGAGGCUCGUCUUCCACGACAACCAGCUGCAGGUCAUAGAAAUUCGCCGGAGCUUUGGGACGUCGCCUUGGAGCAAUUCGGCGAGCCAGAGAGGAGAGGCCAGCUAGUGCCCGGCAGACGGCAGCCGCGUCGGUUUGUUUCAUCGCUCCGCGUAUGCGUCCAUACCCGCGCGUAGGGGGGAGGCAGAGAGGAAAAAGUGUUCGGCAGUUAGUGGCCGAUCGAAGUUGAAAUUGUCACAGAGAUCUAGCCUGGUCCAAAAGAAAAAAAAAAAAAAAA